rnacentral:rRNA from 1 species
AAAGGAAUAGACGGGGACCCGCACAAGCGGUGGAUGAUGUGGUUUAAUUCGACGCAACGCGAAGAACCUUACCGAGGCUUGACAUCCUGCGAAUCUCGCGGAAACGUGAGAGUGCCUUCGGGAAUGCAGUGACAGGUGCUGCAUGGCCGUCGUCAGCUCGUGUCGUGAGAUGUUGGGUUAAGUCCCGCAACGAGCGCAACCCUUGUCGUAUGUUGAAUUUUUCAUGCGAUACUGCCCGGGAUAACCGGGAGGAAGGUGGGGAUGACGUCAGGUCAGCAUGGCCCUUACGCCUCGGGCUACACACGUCAUACAAUGGCCAGUACAAUGCGCUGCCAACCAGCAAUGGGGAGCUAAUCGCAUCAAAACUGGUCCCAGUUCGGAUUGGAGGCUGCAACUCGCCUCCAUGAAGUCGGAAUCGCUAGUAAACGUGGGUCAGCAUACCACGUUGAAUACGUUCCCGGGUCUUGUACACACCGCCCGU